UACGGGGGGGGCAAGCGUUGCUCGGAAUUACUGGGCGUAAAGGGCGCGUAGGCGGAAUGGCAAGUCGGUCGUGAAAUCCUUCGGCUCAACCGAAGAACGUCGAUCGAAACUGCCGUUCUUGAGGAUUGCAGAGGAGACUGGAAUUCCCGGUGUAGCGGUGAAAUGUGUAGAGAUCGGGAGGAACACCGGUGGCGAAGGCGGGUCUCUGGGCAAUUCCUGACGCUGAGGCGCGAAAGCGUGGGGAGCAAACGGG
rnacentral:rRNA from 1 species